rnacentral:rRNA from 1 species
GUCCUAGCCCUAAACCAUCAGGACUUGGGGUGCAUCCCGUCGGGGUGCGUCCCGUAGCUAACGCGUUAAGUCCUGCGCCUGGGGGAGUACGGUCGCAAGACUGAAACUCAAAGGAAUUGACGGGGGCCCGCACAAGCGGUGGAACAUGUGGUUCAAUUCGACGCAACGCGAAGAACCUUACCUGGGCUUGAACUACUGGUGACCAGCGGUGGAAACAUCGCCUUCCCGCAAGGGACACCAGCAGAGGUGCUGCAUGGCUGUCGU